CAGGGAGCAUGAAGGUCUGAGUGGGUUGCCAGGGGCCAGGUGAGUGCUGAGCCAAUGCAACAUUAGACUUUGUUGCCUGCUGCAGGCAGCUGUGGAGCAGGCAGAGGGGCUGGAGCAUAGUCUGAGGAGUGCUAAAGCUGUGCUGGCGGAGAGGGCAGCUCAGCUCAAAGACAUCCAGGCCCAACUCUCCAGGAAUAAACUUCUGAUCAAAGACCUCCGUGAGGAGAACAGGAGGUUUGCAAUGGCCCUGCAGGCAGCUGAGCUGAAGCAGAAGUGCACUGAGGAAAAGAACAAGCUGUUGGAGGAGCAAGCCUCAGCUCUGAAGCAGCUCAUCAGAAAAAUCACACCAGCAUCUUUGAGUGGGUGAUGGGGCACCCGGUGUGGCAGCCUGUACUGGUCUUGACUGGGGUUUGUCAUGUGCAGGAGGGGAGGUAUGGCUGGGUUGGAAAAUAAGCCUUGUCAUCUCUGGUCUUGACAGGAUUUUCCUGAGUACAUAGUAGAAAACAGAGAAGGAAAUUGGUCCUGUGGAUAGCUGAAUUUUCCUACUGAAAGCACCAGCUUUGCUGCCUUUUUCAGCAGCAGAGUGUGCUGUUGUAAGUCAGAUCUGUCUCAAGGCAGCCAUCCCACAGGAGCUACCUGCACUCUGGCAGUGUGUUUAGUGGUGGUGCAGAUGCUCCCUCUCUGCAGAGGAUUUGCUAUUGUCAUCACACUGUUACAGCUAGAAAGCCAGGGCAGGAGGGCUUACAGGUUCCUGCAUCCAUUUCACUCCAAGCAGGAAAGCUGUGUUGUGGCAUUAAAAUGUUUGUGAUAUUACAGUACCUUCUGCCAUCUCCAGUCUGCUCUGUAUUUCAGUAGCCUUCCCCAGCUGUUGUUGAACUUUUAUUCUCUACAGCUCCUUCUAGGCUCUAGGAGGCUGGCUCUGCUAAAGCCUAAGACUAGGUUCCAAACCAAACUUGCCAGAUUGUUGCCUCUUCAAUGAGCAGGACAGAGGGGCUGAGGGAAGAGCCAGCUUUCAGUUCAAGCCUCCAAAGGCUUGG
rnacentral:lncRNA from 1 species